AGGCUUUUUGUGCUGAAAUGACGAAGAGGUCCAAUGAGUUGAGUCUCAGCAGUAACAGUGUCCCCCAGUGGACCAGAGGGGAGCAAAGAGGUGGACUUGAAGCCGGAUCACCUGCCAUCAAUCUGAUGGGUGUAAACGCAGAAGAGAUGUGUGAGGCCAAAGAGUGGAUUGAAAGGUUGCUGACUUCUGAGGAACACCACGUCAUCGAGAAUAAACACAUUCUCUACCUUGGCAAGAAUGAGCAUGACAAGCUGUCUCAGCUCCAGACAGCCUCAGGUGUCUCCAUUUCAGAGACUGUCAGUCCCCUGAAAGCAAUGCUAGAGAUUAGAGGUGCCCAGGCUGACCUCAUUGAAGCAGUAAUGAAUGUUGAAUGUAUGCUGUGUGAAGUUCAGCGAGAAGUGGCAAGAAAAAAGGAGAAAAGUCUUUUUGACUUGUUAGGGAGUUCCUUUGAAUUUUAUUGCCUGCUUUGCGUGGUUAAGCUGAAGUCCAUUGACUAGGCACUGGGCUUCUGGUGAGUAUGCUUGUUCCGAGUCAAGCCCCUCCCUGCUUUGUUUUUUGUUUAUCUACCUGUGUGUUCAGUCAAAUAGAGAGCUUCCUUGGACAAAAACAGGUGGCCUAUUGAAUUUCAAAAUGGGAGGAGAAAGGGAAGAAGGGGACUGAGAGGAGUGAGGGAGACAAAGGGAGGAGGAAAACAAGGAAAGGAGGGAGGGAGGAGAGGAGACCAUGGGUUGUUCAGCUGUAAGUGCUGCCCUUGCUCAUCCCACAAGUGACACAUGUUCCAGGUCUCCUUAUAGAAAACCCAAACGGAAGCCAGGUUUAUAAGCCAGGUUGAGAUCUCUGCUUACCUAGUUGUUUGUAUUGGGCAAGUUGGUUAACUUCUCUGAAUUCUUGCUUGUUUAUAGAGCUCUGUUGAGUAUUUCAGUGGUGGUGUGAUGAACACGAGGUAAAGAAUGGGCUCAAAAACU
rnacentral:lncRNA from 1 species